rnacentral:rRNA from 1 species
AGUGAACGCUGGCGGUAGGCCUAACACAUGCAAGUCGAACGGCAGCACAGUAAGAGCUUGCUCUUACGGGUGGCGAGUGGCGGACGGGUGAGGAAUACAUCGGAAUCUACUUUUUCGUGGGGGAUAACGUAGGGAAACUUACGCUAAUACCGCAUACGACCUACGGGUGAAAGCAGGGGAUCUUCGGACCUUGCGCGAUUGAAUGAGCCGAUGUCGGAUUAGCUAGUUGGCGGGGUAAAGGCCCACCAAGGCGACGAUCCGUAGCUGGUCUGAGAGGAUGAUCAGCCACACUGGAACUGAGACACGGUCCAGACUCCUGCGGGAGGCGGCAGUGGGGAAUAUUGGAGAAUGGGCGCAAGCCUGAUCCAGCCAUACCGCGUGGGUGAAGAAGGCCUUCGGGUUGUAAAGCCCUUUUGUUGGGAAAGAAAAGCAGCAGGUUAAUACCCCGCUGUUCUGACGGUACCCAAAGAAUAGGCACCGGCUAACUUCGUG